rnacentral:rRNA from 1 species
UACAGAGGUGGCAAGCGUUGUUCGGAAUUACUGGGCGUAAAGGGCGCGUAGGCGGUUCGUCAAGUCCUGUGUGAAAUCCCCCGGCUCAACUGGGGAACUGCACAGGAAACUAGCGGGCUUGAGUCCGGGAGAGGGAAGCGGAAUUCCGGGUGUAGCGGUGAAAUGCGUAGAUAUCCGGAGGAACACCGGUGGCGAAGGCGGCUUCCUGGACCGACACUGACGCUGAGGCGCGAAAGCUAGGGGAGCAAACAGG